rnacentral:rRNA from 1 species
GACGAACCGAGCGAACGUUGUUCGGAAUAACUGGGCUUAAAGGGCGCGUAGGCGGGCUGUCAAGUCUGGGGUGAAAUCCCGCGGCUCAACCGCGGAACUGCCUCAGAUACUGACGGCCUCGAGGGAGAUAGGGGCGAGCGGAACGAAUGGUGGAGCGGUGAAAUGCGCAGAUAUCAGGAGGAACACCGGUGGCGAAGGCGGAUCUCUGGGCCGAUACUGACGCUGAGGAGCGAAAGCGUGGGGAGCGAACAGG